UACGAGGGAUGCAAGCGUUAUCCGGAAUUAUUGGGCGUAAAGCGUUCGUAGGUGGCUAUGUAAGUCUGUCGUUAAAACGUGGAGCUCAACUCCAUACCGGCGAUGGAAACUGUAUGGCUGGAGUGUGGUAGGGGUAAGAGGAAUUCCCAGUGUAGCGGUGAAAUGCGUAGAUAUUGGGAAGAACACCAGCGGCGAAAGCGUCUUACUGGGCCACAACUGACACUGAGGGACGAAAGCUAGGGGAGCGAAAGGG
rnacentral:rRNA from 1 species